rnacentral:rRNA from 1 species
AGCGGCGGACGGGUGAGUAACGCGUGGGUAACCUGCCUCAUACAGGGGAUAACAGUUGGAAACGGCUGCUAAUACCGCAUAAGCGCACAGUACCGCAUGGUACGGUGUGAAAAACUCCGGUGGUAUGAGAUGGACCCGCGUCUGAUUAGGUAGUUGGUGGGGUAACGGCCUACCAAGCCGACGAUCAGUAGCCGACCUGAGAGGGUGACCGGCCACAUUGGGACUGAGACACGGCCCAA